rnacentral:hammerhead_ribozyme from 1 species
ACCAGCUGACGAGUCCCAAAUAGGACGAAACGCGCGUUCUGGAU